rnacentral:rRNA from 1 species
UACGUAGGGUGCGAGCGUUAAUCGGAAUUACUGGGCGUAAAGCGUGCGCAGGCGGUUUUGUAAGCCAGGUGUGAAAUCCCCGGGCUUAACCUGGGAAUGGCAUUUGGGACUGCAAGGCUGGAGUUUGGCAGAGGAGACUGGAAUUCCUGGUGUAGCAGUGAAAUGCGUAGAUAUCAGGAGGAAUACCGAUGGCGAAGGCAGGUCUCUGGGCUAUAACUGACGCUCAUGCACGAAAGCGUGGGGAGCAAACAGG